rnacentral:rRNA from 1 species
GCCCUUCACUCUGGGACAAGCCCUGGAAACGGGGUCUAAUACCGGAUAACACUCCUGCCUGCAUGGGUGGGGGUUAAAAGCUCCGGCGGUGAAGGAUGAGCCCGCGGCCUAUCAGCUUGUUGGUGAGGUAGUGGCUCACCAAGGCGACGACGGGUAGCCGGCCUGAGAGGGCGACCGGCCACACUGGGACUGAGACACGGCCCAGACUCCUACGGGAGGCAGCAGUGGGGAAUAUUGCACAAUGGGCGAAAGCCUGAUGCAGCGACGCCGCGUGAGGGAUGACGGCCUUCGGGUUGUAAACCUCUUUCAGCAGGGAAGAAGCGAAAGUGACGGUACCUGCAGAAGAAGCGCCGGCUAACUACGUGCCAGCAGCCGCGGUAAUACGUAGGGCGCAAGCGUUGUCCGGAAUUAUUGGGCGUAAAGAGCUCG